GUUGUAUGGUUAAGUGACUAAGCGUACAUGGUGGAUGCCUUGGCAGUCAGAGGCGAUGAAGGACGUACUAACCUGCGAUAAGCCGUGAGCAGUCGGUAAGAGACAUUACGACUCACGGAUUUCCGAAUGGGGAAACCCACUUAGCAUAAGCUAGGUAUCGCUACGUGAAUACAUAGCGUAGCGAGGCGAACCGGGAGAACUGAAACAUCUAAGUACCCCGAGGAAAAGAAAUCAACCGAGAUUCCCUCAGUAGCGGCGAGCGAACGGGGAUUAGCCCUUAAGCAUCUUGGAAGUUAGUGGAACGGUCCUGGAAAGGCCGGCGAUACAGGGUGAUAGCCCCGUACACGAAAACAACCUUGAUGUGAAAUCGAGUAGGGCGGGACACGUGACAUCCUGUCUGAAUAUGGGGGGACCAUCCUCCAAGGCUAAAUACUCCUGACUGACCGAUAGUGAACCAGUACCGUGAGGGAAAGGCGAAAAGAACCCCUGUGAGGGGAGUGAAAUAGAACCUGAAACCGUGUACGUACAAGCAGUGGGAGCCCUUCGGGGUGACUGCGUACCUUUUGUAUAAUGGGUCAGCGACUUACAUUUUGUAGCGAGGUUAACCGUAUAGGGGAGCCGUAGGGAAACCGAGUCUUAACUGGGCGUCUAGUUGCAAGGUGUAGACCCGAAACCGGGUGAUCUAGCCAUGGGCAGGUUGAAGGUUGAGUAACAUCAACUGGAGGACCGAACCCACUAACGUUGCAAAGUUAGGGGAUGACCUGUGGCUGGGGGUGAAAGGCCAAUCAAACUCGGAGAUAGCUGGUUCUCCCCGAAAGCUAUUUAGGUAGCGCCUCGGACGAAUACUACUGGGGGUAGAGCACUGUUUGGGCUAGGGGGUCAUCCCGACUUACCAACCCCAUGCAAACUCCGAAUACCAGUAAGUAAUAUCCGGGAGACACACGGCGGGUGCUAACGUCCGUCGUGAAGAGGGAAACAACCCAGACCGCCGGCUAAGGUCCCAAAGUUCUGGUUAAGUGGGAAACGAUGUGGGAAGGCUCAGACAGCUAGGAUGUUGGCUUAGAAGCAGCCAUCAUUUAAAGAAAGCGUAAUAGCUCACUAGUCGAGUCGGCCUGCGCGGAAGAUGUAACGGGGCUCAAACCAGGCACCGAAGCCGCGGAUUCACGCUAAGCGUGAGUGGUAGGGGAGCGUUCUGUAAGUCUGCGAAGGUGUGUCGAGAGG
rnacentral:rRNA from 1 species